AGAGUUUGAUCAUGGCUCAGAACGAACGCUGGCGGCGUGAUAAGACAUGCAAGUCGAGCGGGACAUUUCGGGUAGCAAUAUUCGAGAUGUUCAGCGGCGCAAGGGUGCGUAACACGUGGGCAACCUGCCUUGAAGUGGGGAAUAACUCCGAGAAAUCGGAGCUAAUACCGCAUGUGAUGUUCCGGAGGCAUCUCUGGAACCUCGAAGCUGGGGAUCGAAAGACCUGGCGCUUCAAGAUGGGCCCGCGGCCUAUCAGCUAGUUGGUGGGGUAACGGCUCACCAAGGCUAAGACGGGUAGCUGGUCUGAGAGGACGACCAGCCACACUGGAACUGAGACACGGUCCAGACACCUACGGGUGGCAGCAGUCGAGAAUUUUUCUCAAUGGGCGCAAGCCUGAAGGAGCGACGCCGCGUGGGGGAUGAAGGGCUUCGGCUCGUAAACCCCUGUCAUUUGCGAACAAACCUCAUUAUUUAAAAGAUGAUGAGCUGAUUGUAGCGAAAGAGGAAGGGACGGCUAACUCUGUGCCAGCAGCCGCGGUAAUACAGAGGUCCCAAGCGUUGUUCGGAUUCACUGGGCGUAAAGGGUGCGUAGGCGGUCGGGUAAGUCCGAUGUGAAAUCUCCGAGCUUAACUCGGAAACGGCGUCGGAUACUAUUCGGCUAGAGGAUUGGAAGGGGGACUGGAAUUCCCGGCGUAGCAGUGAAAUGCGUAGAUAUCGGGAGGAACACCAGUGGCGAAGGCGAGUCCCUGGACAAUACCUGACGCUGAGGCACGAAAGCUAGGGGAGCAAACAGGAUUAGAUACCCUAGUAGUCC
rnacentral:rRNA from 1 species